GUGCCAGCAGCCGCGGUAAUACGGAGGGGGCCAGCGUUGUUCGGAAUCAUUGGGCGUAAAGGGCGCGUAGGCGGCCACGCAAGUCGGAUGUGAAAUCCCUCGGCUCAACCGAGGAACUGCAUCCGAAACUGCGAGGCUCGAGUCCUGGAGAGGGUAGUGGAAUUCCCAGUGUAGCGGUGAAAUGCGUAGAUACUGGGAGGAACACCGGUGGCGAAGGCGGCUACCUGGACAGGUACUGACGCUGAUGCGCGAAAGCCAGGGGAGCAAACAGGAUUAGAUACCCUGGUAGUCC
rnacentral:rRNA from 1 species